UGCCGAUUUAGAGUUUUCCAAUCUACAGAUUGUUUUUAAAUUUUGAUAUUCUAUUUGUUUUAAAAGAAGUUAUCGUUGUGCAAAAUUUCAUCACAUGUCACCGUGCAAAAUUUUGAAUUACGCCGUUUUAUUGUGGUAUCUCACUCGCUAGGCCGAAAGUUUUUCGAGCUCUGCAAGAUCAAUGAAUUGACAUGCGCGUACAUGUUUUCGCAGGCGCAUCCCAAGAAAAACUCGCACAAAAAAGUUUUU